UUGAUCACUGAAUAGAAAAUAAAUACCAUGACAUGGGGUAAAUUGGGAUCCUGGGGUAAAUUGGGACAAACCUGCGGAAGAUUCUCAAAGUACCUGUAGCACGGAAUCUACCUAAUUUUGUUUAUGUUAAUAUUUAUCAAUGUAUAGAAGAAAAACCAAGUUAACUAUGGAAGUACUAAAUAUGAGUUAAGUUGGUCCCAAAAAUUCGUCAAAUUAAAUUGAAAAUAGUGGUUGAAAAGUGCGUUUUAAAACAGCUUACAGAACUUUUAAAAAAAGUAAUAUUAUCGUUGUUUUUUCAGUAAGAUCACAGUUUAUAUAAGUUUUUAAUACACCUGGAAAUACUACAACAAACGGUAAGUUGCAAUAUUCUUAUUUUAAAUACAAUAUUUCGACAAAAUAAAAAAUGUAUAAUUUUCCUUUCUUUUUGGGGAAAAUUGGGACGUAUGUGGGGUAAUUUGGAACGAGACUGGAAAAAUUAGGGACGAGAAAACACAAAAUUGGAACGCCAAAAGACAAAAUAGGGAUGGAUUGUUAGGGUUGUCACUGAUAUCUUAUAAUAGAUUUUUUAGCCUAUACUAUCACUCAAUUGCGUGAUGUAAAGAAGGUUAAUGUGUUUAUCAGUUAGUUUAUGUAAGUACUAUAGGUAAAAGAAAAGUAUAUAUAUAAUUACAUUUUUUCGCGACAUUUACCUUAUAAUAUCUGCCCGGUCGUAUGUCCUUUAUAGCAAUAAAAUAAAAUUAAAAAUUAAAAAGAACUCAAACGAAUCAAAACUUUUGUUAUUUCAGAAUCUAUUCACGUGUCGAAUCAUGAUUUUUUUAACAUUCACAACGCACAUACAAAUAAAAACAGGCCUCAGAUUUUAAAUGUAACAUUAAUUAAAAAUCCGAGAUAUCUAGGUUCCAAUUAUGAGUGAGUUAAUUAAUUGAGUUUAGUUAUUUAGCUUAGAAAGAAUUUCUUUUAUUUUUGUUAUUAUAGGCAGUAAUCAGAUAAAUCUGCUUUUUUAUCUUAUUCACCUGAUAUCUUACUCUUGCUCAAAGAUUAUUUUGAAAAUGUUGAUUAAAUAAAAUUGUAUUAUUGCAUUUCCAGUCCUUUUGUUUUCUAUUUUUUAUUCUAUUUUAUGAUUUUGUUUCAGAGUUGUGAUUUUUAAGGAAAUUAAAUAAUAAUUUUCUAAAAUAUAACAUGCACAUACUUUUUUUGAUCAUUGUAUUGUUGAUUAUCAUUCACGUCACAUCGCUUCGGAAUAGAAACCAGCUUAAUUUACACUAUGUUGUGUAUUGUGCUUAAAUUAUGGAUUGUAUUCAUCAUUUCGGUCCAUAUAAAUAAUUGUAUGGCACCUACCUACCUACCUAUAUAUCGCAGUACCGCGAACUGACAACCCUUACAAAAAUCCCAAUUUAAACCUCACCCGUGUCAAUUUACCCCGAAUGCGGGGUAAAUUGGGAUGGCCAUUAUUUUUCCGAUUAUUUCUUUAAAUUGAAUAAUUAAAAUAAUGUAACGGUUUUUAUCACCUAGGUACGUUCAAGACUCAACUUAUUUCUUUGGUUGAGCAGUGACUAUUUAAUUGGAACUAUGUUAAAAUUCAAUCUGAAGUUCGAUUUUGUCCCUAUUUACCCCAUUUUACGGUAAACGUCUUAGAAUUGUAAUAACGGCUAUUGUAAACAAUAGAUACAAAUUUUUGUCUCUGAUCUCGAGUAUCGCAGAUGAUAUGUGGGCGGCGAUCUUGUUUGUUAGUACUAGAACAGCAGAAUCUUACAGAAGUAGUCGCGUACCUCCGAAACAAAGGUACUGCGUUUUCAUACUGUUAAUUAUCUUGUAUUGUUGGUAUGGAAUGGAAAAAUGAUGAAUGAAAAAUGCAAUCUAGUAGUAUUAUCAGAAUGAUAUAUUUAUUUUAUAUAUUUUUUCGGGUUAUGUCGGAGUUGAACCGACUAAAACCUCCUGUCGAUCAACAACCAGCAUCCAAACCUCGCAUGAGACAGAACUCAUGAAAAGGCAAAGGGGAGAAAGUGAAGCGUUUAGUGCGAAGCACAUUUCUACCACCCCCCCACCCCCUCGGGACGCCGGACUGGCGGUCGUCGGCGCCACGACCACCAGCCCUCUCGGUCAGCAGGCUAUCCGAAGCCCGCCUAAUAUUGCGCAUGUAGUAAAUAAAUACAACAAGUGUCCAUAAAUACAUUUUCUUUACAUAAAUAACCUUUAUCAUUUUACUCAAAGAAAGGUUUUCUUGACAAUAUGCCAUUUACAGAUGAGCCUCAUGACUCACAUCAUAUGUGUGCCAUGUGUGCAACGCUUAUUUUGGCCGAUACCUCAACCGUGUCGCCUAGAGGGAACCGAUGACGCAGUACCACUCUGGAGAGGAGAACUCUCCGGAGCACACGCUCACGCCCUCGUCGCGGUCAUAGGAGAGGACCUGUCGCUGCUAACCGUCGUGGCUACGAAGUCCGGCAGCGAUGCGUCCUCGAACGCGAUGUUUGACUUUUGUGAAUCCAUCAUCUCACAGAAGGAGGCAGCAGAACAAGAGAGAGAGAGAGGUCUGCAGCGAUCUUCGUCGUCGAGCCGGAGGCCGGAGGAGACAUCAUGAACCUACGUAUGAGGCGUAGGUAUACCCCCUGUAUAAGGCGGCCUCUCCCGGAGUAGUUCACGAGACGACCUGAGGAGUGGAGGUCACGCGACGCGUUACCAUUAUUCUAGCGCGCCGUUCAAGAGUAACAGUAUAAGAGUGACCAGUUGGUGGUGUAUCGCGUCUAGACCCGGCAGGCUGAUUCCGACCCAGCGGGGCAUCCGGUACUACGCUAGGGUAACGCUGAUAUAGCCUGUUAAGGAUAUCAGUAUAGGUGAAAAAAGUUUUUACUUGAAUGGUAGGUGAAUCCAAUUUGUGACAUAAAUAUGAUGAUAGCUGAAAUAUUUUAAACUCACGGCCUGAAAAUGACAAUUUGAAACUCACGCACGAUCAUUCGCGCUUCUUUACGCACAUGGCGUAAUAUUAACAAAAAUAUUUUAAUCUGAACUAAAUCCGUUUUUUUUCAAGGCUAUCGCAUCAUUUCAGAACUUUCAAUUAACAUUGUGAAGUGAUCACUCCCGUUGGCCUCUUAGAAACCAUUAAGGGACCCUACUGCUGGAGAGGACGAGGACUCGGAGAACUUGGAUCUAAAUAAGCAAAUUAAUUAUCGAAUCCAAAACGAACCGGUCAUGUGAAGGGAGGGCAAGCGUUGUGCAAUUCCAUUGAGACUGAGUCUUCACGUUCAAGGUGGCUUUAUUCAUGUUGUGACUCCUAUGGGUUCCGGCCGCCACUUAAUGAACUCGUUCUCUCCACUCCGCGAAGAAUAAAUAAUAAAUUGGAAAACCUGUCUUAUUAAACUCACGGCCUCUCUCGUGAUAUGUGUCGCACCAGAGUCGUUAUUAGAAGUGUGCCUGGCAGCCGUUGAAAGGACAAACGGAAAAUGAUCGAAACCUCAGAAUAAUAGAUUUCAUGUGUCUGUCCUAUGAUUAUGAAUAAGGGCUUCUUUUAAAAACACAAAAAACUAAAUUAACUGUAGUUAGUUGACUUGACAAAAAAAAAAUCAUUUUUUAUUUUGCCUCUCUGUCUUUUUGUUUGUCCAUACUAAGUUUCUGUACUAGCUAGCUUCUGUUCUUUACCCACACUGCUGUACUGUAUGUACUCUUUCUGAGCGGACCUCCAGUCCUAGCUACCUACCUACCUGUAUUUAUCAUAAACAUGGCGUGGGCGUAACGGUUGCAUGCGACACCAGGAGACCAUAAUCGAAAGGAAAGUUUCACAAUGAAUGAACGAGCAAAAGAGAUAGCAUAUUACGCCUUUCCAACGUAAAUGAAAAAGAGGCAUGAAAUAUUUUUCCUUGAAAUUAAACAUUGACCACUAACAUCUGGAAUAGCUCGUUCUUUUUCUCAUUAAAUGUCUGAUUUCGGUGACAUGAGAUACAACGAACGUUAUGAAUUUAAAUUAAUUUAAUGAUUUAUCAAUGAGUUAAGUUUUUUUCCGUAUGUAUAUACAUAAUUCGACUUUUUCUUUUUAUCGAUACAGCAAUUGGAUUUUUGCGGUAGCAUUGUUACCAGUGUCGAAUUUAUAAAAAUUAUCAAUUUGUUAAAUGACAAACGUUGUAGAGCGGAAUGUAAUGAUGAUGAUCUAUUCUAAUCAGAGAAGCCACGUCCAGUGAUUUUGAUUCAUUUUCCGACACUUGUGCACCUUCACGGAGGCUAAAUGGUUCAUAAACCACCGUUAAUUCAUGUUUGAACAUGAAUAAUGUUUCUUCAACUAACAAAACAAAACAAUUUCCAAGAUGAACAAGAUGAAUGUGUAUUAAUAUUAUAUCUUCUGUUAGUAUGGUGUAUUUAUAUAGCGGAGUGAUAAUAUAUAGGGAUAAGCUGUCUAUGUUUAAAUUGAAAAUAUCUUUGUAUGGAAAGUUUUCCGGGUUUCUCUGAAUUUGGACUUGAACAACGAUAUCGAAUACCUAAACUUAAAGCUUUUUAUAGAGCUACACCACAAAAUAUCGAACAGCAAAGAAUUGUCAUCUUAUUAAAACCGUAUCACACUAAUGUGAUAGUGAGAUUGUUUAUUUAUUGGUUUUACAUCCUAACCACUCAACCUGUCAUUGUGAAAUUUUUACAAAUUGUCAGGGCUACAGAAAAUACAGAAAUAAAACUUUGAUAUGAGUCGACUAUUAUCAAAGCCGGCAAUCUGACUUUUGGACAAUGAUGGUAAAUCAGAAAAACGAAUUAUUGACUUUGUAUUCCAUUGGCAGUCACAAAACUCUUCGGAACGACAUCUUAGAUAAAUAACAGGUUAACUAUUAACCUUUAUUUAAUGCAGGUUUUGAACCGUAUUCUUUGAAGGAGACGAUUAUAUUCAAAUUAAUCUGUAUUGACAUAUCAAUAAAAAACUUUUGUCCAAAUGCACAGAUUGCCACCUUUGAUAAUAGACGACUCAUAUUCGAGUGAUAUAUCAUUUUUCCACUAACGCAAGUUAAGCCGUGGCUAAAUGCCAACUUAUCUAAUAUAUAAAAUUCUCGUGUCACAGUUUUCGUUGCCAUACUCCUCCGAAACGGCUUGACCGAUUUUGAUGAAAUUUUUUGUGCUUAUCCGGUAUCUAUGAGAAUCGGCCAACAUCUAUUUUUCAUCCCCCUAAAUGCUAGGGGUAGUCCACCCCUAAAUUUUUUUUUUAUUUUUUAGACAAAAAUUUUUAUUUCAAUUUUUUUAUGAUACAGCAUACAAAAAUACAUACAACCCUAAAUUUUCGCCCCUCUACGAUCAACCCUUAUUUUUUAUUUGCUAAUUAAAAAUUUUAAAUUUUUUUGCGAGAAUUUUGUUUUUAUUUUGUCAUGACGUAGAAUAAAAAAAUUCAUAUUACUCUGAAAUUUUCACCCCUCUAUGAUCAACCCCUAUUUUUUAUUUGUUAAUUAUAAACUUUAAUUUUUGUGGCAAGAUUUUCAUUUUUAUUUUUAUUUCGUCAUGAAUUAAAAUAAAAAAUCUGAUGUUACUCUCAAUUUUUCAUCCCUCUAUGAUCAACCGCUAUUUUUUAUUUGUUAAUUAUAAACUUUAAUUUUUUUGGCAA